rnacentral:rRNA from 1 species
UACGUAGGUGGCGAGCGUUGUCCGGAUUUACUGGGCGUAAAGAGCGCGCAGGCGGUCGUUCAAGUCGCGUGUGAAAGCCCCCGGCUCAACUGGGGAGGGUCACGCGAUACUGAUCGACUCGAAGGCAGGAGAGGGAAGUGGAAUUCCCGGUGUAGUGGUGGAAAUGCGUAGAUAUCGGGAGGAACACCAGUGGCGAAGGCGACUCCUGGCCUGUUCUUGACGCUGAGGUGCGAGAGCGUGGGGAGCGAACCGGG